UCAGGACGAACGCUGGCGGCGUGCUUAACACAUGCAAGUCGAACGGAAAGGCCUCUUCGGAGGUACUCGAGUGGCGAACGGGUGAGUAACACGUGGGCAAUCUGCCCUGCACUUCGGGAUAAGCCUGGGAAACUGGGUCUAAUACCGGAUAGGACCUUUAGACGCAUGUCUUUUGGUGGAAAGCUUUUGCGGUGUGGGAUGGGCCCGCGGCCUAUCAGCUUGUUGGUGGGGUGAUGGCCUACCAAGGCGACGACGGGUAGCCGGCCUGAGAGGGUGUCCGGCCACACUGGGACUGAGAUACGGCCCAGACUCCUACGGGAGGCAGCAGUGGGGAAUAUUGCACAAUGGGCGCAAGCCUGAUGCAGCGACGCCGCGUGGGGGAUGACGGCCUUCGGGUUGUAAACCUCUUUCACCAUCGACGAAGGUCCGGGUUUUCUCGGAUUGACGGUAGGUGGAGAAGAAGCACCGGCCAACUACGUGCCAGCAGCCGCGGUAAUACGUAGGGUGCGAGCGUUGUCCGGAAUUACUGGGCGUAAAGAGCUCGUAGGUGGUUUGUCGCGUUGUUCGUGAAAUCUCACGGCUUAACUGUGAGCGUGCGGGCGAUACGGGCAGACUAGAGUACUGCAGGGGAGACUGGAAUUCCUGGUGUAGCGGUGGAAUGCGCAGAUAUCAGGAGGAACACCGGUGGCGAAGGCGGGUCUCUGGGCAGUAACUGAC
rnacentral:rRNA from 1 species